UUGCAGCUAUGGCGACAUUGUGCCGUCCACCAUUAUCGGCAAAAUAGUUGGCGGUGUCUGCUCUUUAUCCGGCGUCCUUGUUAUCGCCCUGCCCGUGCCAGUCAUUGUGUCGAAU
rfam:Macrostomum lignano uti_cns_0046286, whole genome shotgun sequence.